ensembl:misc_RNA Metazoa_SRP Metazoan signal recognition particle RNA
GCUGGGUGUAUUGGCGUGCACCCGUGGUCCUAACUACUUGGGAGGCUGAGGCAGGAGUAUCACUGGAGCCCAGGAGUUUGAGGCUGCAGUGAGCUAUGACGUGCCACUGCACUCUAGCCUGGGUGACAGAGUGAGAUGCUGUCUCUU